CAGUCCUCUGCCUCGCUCAACCUCCUGCCUUCUCCCAUCAAGAAGUUUCGAGCUGGAUACCCUCCUUUCCUUUCUCUUCGGAGAAGGACAGGCGGAGUAAUGGACAAGAACAAUCUUCCCGAAGGUCUUUGAGUACGACUGCUUUCGUCAUGUUUCAAGGAUUGCUUUACUUGGUCGUAAUUUACCUCUCGGGACAUCU
rnacentral:snoRNA from 1 species